rnacentral:rRNA from 1 species
UGGCGGACGGGUGCGUAACACGUGAGCAACUUGCCCUGCGGUGGGGGAUAGCCGGCCCAACGGCCGGGUAAUACCGCGUACGUCGCCGGAGUCGCAUGGCUCUGGCGGGAGAGCGGCCGCAAGGUCGCGCCGCAGGAGGGGCUCGCGGCCUAUCAGCUAGUUGGCGGGGUAAUGGCCCACCAAGGCUACGACGGGUAGCUGGUCUGAGAGGACGGCCAGCCACAUUGGGACUGAGAUACGGCCCAGACUCCUACGGGAGGCAGCAGUGGGGAAUAUUGCGCAAUGGCCGCAAGGCUGACGCAGCGACGCCGCGUGUGGGAUGACGGCCUUCGGGUUGUAAACCACUGUCGGGGGGGGCGAAUACCUGGCCUCGAAUAGGGGACCAGGGGUGACGGUACCUCCAAAGGAAGCACCGGCUAACUCCGUGCCAGCAGCCGCGGUAAUACGGGGGGUGCGAGCGUUGUCCGGAAUCACUGGGCGUAAAGGGCGCGUAGGCGGCUCACUAAGUCACUUGUGAAAUCCUGGGGCUCAACUCCAGGGCUGCAGGUGAGACUGGAGGGCUAGAGCUCGGUAGAGGCGAGUGGAAUUCCCGGUGUAGCGGUGGAAUGCGUAGAUAUCGGGAAGAACAUCGGUGGCGAAGGCGGCUCGCUGGGCCGAUGCUGACGCUGAGGCGCGAAAGCGUGGGGAGCAAACAGGAUUAGAUACCCUGGUAGUCCGCGCCGUAAACGAUGGGUACUAGGCGUCGGGGGGAGCGACCCCUUCGGUGCCGUCGCUAACGCAGUAAGUACCCCGCCUGGGGAGUACGGCCGCAAGGCUGAAACUCAAGGAAUUGACGGGGGCCCGCACAAGCGGUGGAGCAUGUGGUUCAAUUCG